AUUGAACGCUGGCGGCAUGCUUUACACAUGCAAGUCGAACGGUAACAGGCCGCAAGGUGCUGACGAGUGGCGAACGGGUGAGUAAUGCAUCGGAACGUGCCCAGUCGUGGGGGAUAACGCAGCGAAAGCUGUGCUAAUACCGCAUACGAUCUAUGGAUGAAAGCGGGGGACCGUAAGGCCUCGCGCGAUUGGAGCGGCCGAUGUCAGAUUAGCUAGUUGGUGGGGUAAAGGCCCACCAAGGCGACGAUCUGUAGCUGGUCUGAGAGGACGACCAGCCACACUGGGACUGAGACACGGCCCAGACUCCUACGGGAGGCAGCAGUGGGGAAUUUUGGACAAUGGGCGCAAGCCUGAUCCAGCAAUGCCGCGUGCAGGAAGAAGGCCUUCGGGUUGUAAACUGCUUUUGUACGGAACGAAACGGUCUGGGUUAAUACCCCGGGCUAAUGACGGUACCGUAAGAAUAAGCACCGGCUAACUACGUGCCAGCAGCCGCCGUAACAC
rnacentral:rRNA from 1 species